rnacentral:rRNA from 1 species
UACCAGCACCCCGAGUGGUCGGGACGUUUUAUUGGGCCUAAAGCAUCCGUAGCCGGUUCUACAAGUCUUCCGUUAAAUCCAACUGCUUAACAGGUGGGCUGCGGAAGAUACUAUAGAGCUAGGAGGCGGGAGAGGCAAGCGGUACUCGAUGGGUAGGGGUAAAAUCCGUUGAUCCAUUGAAGACCACCAGUGGCGAAGGCGGCUUGCCAGAACGCGCUCGACGGUGAGGGAUGAAAGCUGGGGGGAGCAAACGGGG